GUGACGAAGCGACGCCGCGUGUGGGAAGAAGGCCUUCGGGUUGUAAACCACUGUCGGGAGUUAAGAAAUGCAAGGGUAUAAAUAGUAUCCUUGCUUGACUAAGGCUCCGGAGGAAGCCACGGCUAACUCUGUGCCAGCAGCCGCGGUAAUACAGAGGCGGCAAGCGUUGUUCGGAAUUAUUGGGCGUAAAGAGCACGUAGGCGGCUGUGUAAGUCGGUUGUGAAAGCCUUCCGCUUAACGGAAGAACAGCAGACGAUACUGCAUGGCUUGAGUGCGGGAGGGGAGAGUGGAACUUUUGGUGGAGCGGUGAAAUGCGUAGAUAUCAGAAGGAACGCCGGCGGCGAAAGCGACUCUCUAGACCGUGACUGACGCUGAGUGUGCGAAAGCUAGGGGAGCAAACGGGAUUAGAUACCCCGGUAGUCCUAGCCGUAAACGAU
rnacentral:rRNA from 1 species